UUAAAUUGAAGAGUUUGAUCAUGGCUCAGAUUGAACGCAGGCGGCAGGCCUAACACAUGCAAGUCGAACGGUAACAG
rnacentral:rRNA from 1 species